UGAAGUCAAAACUCCGUCCAAAUGCGGUACCUGACAUUCCAUUGACACAACCAACAACAGCUGAGCCAAGGCCACUUAUACCUAAGCGGGGAGCUUAUGAAAAGCGGAGAAAGGCUGACAUCCUACAGCUUGCAUAUUGCUUGAAAGAUCGUCAAUGUCGGACUCUUCGGAUGACACAUUUAUAUCUUCUACUUGAUUAUUUUCAACAAGUAACGGCUCAAACUGAUACGGUCGAAUAUCUAAAGUUUGAGAGUUGUCUUGAAAACUGCUGUCAACACCGUCCAUUGUUUAAUUAUGCAGAAAUGUGAUCGACUUCGUCCAUAUUGAGACAUUUUCUCAGCUUGUAUCCACUGACGUCAUCACGAUCACGUGACCGGUAUCUAAUUAAAAAUCAAAGAUUACGACAAGCGCUGGAUUAUUUGACCAUAAAAAGGCCGUUUCAUGAGGUUUUGACAAGAAAAAUUUAUUAAAAUAUGUUUUUUGACCAAUAGUAAUUAAUUAAUUAAAAAAAAAAAAAAAAAAAAAA